CCUACGGGCGGCAGCAGUGGGGAAUAUUGGACAAUGGGCGAAAGCCUGAUCCAGCCAUGCCGCGUGUGUGAAGAAGGCCUUCGGGUUGUAAAGCACUUUCAGUGGGGAAGAAAGCCUUGGGGCUAAUACCCUCGAGGAAGGACAUCACCCACAGAAGAAGCACCGGCUAACUCCGUGCCAGCAGCCGCGGUAAUACGGAGGGUGCGAGCGUUAAUCGGAAUUACUGGGCGGAAAGCGCGCGUAGGCGGUCUGAUAAGCCGGUUGUGAAAGCCCCGGGCUCAACCUGGGAACGGCAUCCGGAACUGUCAGGCUAGAGUGCAGGAGAGGAAGGUAGAAUUCCCGGUGUAGCGGUGAAAUGCGUAGAGAUCGGGAGGAAUACCAGUGGCGAAGGCGGCCUUCUGGACUGACACUGACGCUGAGGUGCGAAAGCGUGGGUAGCAAACAGGAUUAGAUACCCUGUAGUC
rnacentral:rRNA from 1 species